rnacentral:lncRNA from 1 species
ACAAGACAGACACCCCACCAUGGUUCUAUCGCAAAGUCUGCAGGAUGUGCAGGUAAGAGUUCUUUUGCAAUUGACUUGUUCAGCUUCCACAUAAUUUUCUGCCUCAUUCCAACCAAGUAAAAAGCAAGUCAAGCAACCAGUGCAUUUGUUAUCAAAUGUAUACUCAAUAUACAAUUAAACAUCCUGGUUCCAGCAAAGUUUAAAAUUUAGAAUCUCACUUGCUAUGGUUUUACACGAAUCAAUGUCGGUUCCUUGAAAUAUCAAAACCUCAAUCGUUGAAAAAAAAAGUCACUUUGCAGAACAAACAACGGUGCUUAUUCAAAUCUCCAAACUCGACCAACUCCAG